rnacentral:rRNA from 1 species
CCACUCUCAAGAGUUGACC